GACGAACGCUGGCGGCGUGCUUAACACAUGCAAGUCGAACGGAAAGGCCCUGCUUUUGUGGGGUGCUCGAGUGGCGAACGGGUGAGUAACACGUGAGUAACCUGCCCUUGACUUUGGGAUAACUUCAGGAAACUGGGGCUAAUACCGGAUAGGAGCUCCUGCUGCAUGGUGGGGGUUGGAAAGUUUCGGCGGUUGGGGAUGGACUCGCGGCUUAUCAGCUUGUUGGUGGGGUAGUGGCUUACCAGGGCUUUGACGGGUAGCCGGCCUGAGAGGGUGACCGGCCACAUUGGGACUGAGAUACGGCCCAGACUCCUACGGGAGGCAGCAGUGGGGAAUAUUGCACAAUGGGCGGAAGCCUGAUGCAGCAACGUCGCGUGCGGGAUGACGGCCUUCGGGUUGUAAACCGCUUUCGCCUGUGACGAAGCGUGAGUGACGGUAAUGGGUAAAGAAGCACCGGCUAACUACGUG
rnacentral:rRNA from 1 species